rnacentral:tRNA from 20 species
GGAGAGGUGGCCGAGGGGUCUAAGGCGCACGCCUGGAGAGCGUGUGGUGGCCAAAAGCCACCCGUGGGUUCAAAUCCCACCCUCUCCGCCA